CUGCAGUCCAUGGGGUCACAAGGAGUCGGACACGAGUCAGUUUUCUGCCAGUUUUUCGUCUCCUGUCAAGAUUCCUGUGAACCUGUGAUUAUUUCCGGUGUGAUGAGGAUCACCAGCCCUGGCCCGACCUCAGCUCCAGGCCCAGGUGGUGGUGAGGUUCUCACAGUUUCCCUGAGGGAGAAAUUGAGGCGGCAGGAAAGGACCAAGGAGUCCCAGGUUAUCCCCCGCGGCCAACCUCAGAGACCCCACACCUGCUCUGGAAGCCGCCUUCUCUCGUGGUCCCCCGCGGGAGUGCGGCAGAGAGGCCAGGUCAGUCCUGGAUGGUCCAGCUGCCUCUGUCCCUCUCCCUGCCCAUCUGGGCCUGGCGCUGAUGCUCUGCUCGUGUCCUUGCUGUAACCAGCUGCCUGCCUGGCACAGAGGACUUCUGCCGGCCCCCCCGGGCCUGCGGGACUGUUCACUCCGCUGCCCCCUCCCCCAUGGCACAAGGCAGAGUGCUCACUUAGAUUAAUUAAUCUGCUGCCCGGCCCGCUCCUCCGGCCCAUCUUUUAUUCAUGGACAAGCGGCAUUCUCUGCUUUACCAGGAUGCGAGCAUCAAUAUUUCAUCCUUGCUUCGCCUGCCAGCAUCCCGCUCCCUCCUCCCUGCUUCUCACCCGCUCUAGGACCCGGAGAGCUGGGCCACGCUGGCCUGGCCCAGGGCGUCAUCACAGAUGUCCACGCUGCCUUCAGCUUGCCCGCCGUGCCAUUGUGGACUCCAGAGUCUGCGCAAGAAGCCCUUCUGAGUCUAGGCAGGUGGAUAAAGGAAGCAGCAUGGGUGUUCAGGAGCACUCAUCCCUCCGGCCAGCACCCAGCCCGUCUCAUCUCAUCCACUUGAGGUCACAGAGGAAUGCACUGCGCUCUGCCCUGGCAGAGUGUGGAGGUCCUGGCAGAGUGUGGAGCUGGGAUGGAAGCAGUUACUCUCAGGAGGACUUUGGGCAGGCUGUGGUCCUUUCCCAGGCCGGUGGCCAGCUCUUCAUUUCUGUGUCAGGACUGGGGUUGAGGGUGCCUGCUGAGGUGAGCCCCUGGGGGAAUUGCUCUGUCUGGCACCAAACUCCCCCUCCCUCCUUGAGGGCCAGGUGGGGCGUCCCACUCCCCUCCUUUCCUCACUCCCCAUACCUGAUCCUUCAGGAGUGCCUGCCCCCUAAGCCCCCCAAUACUGCUGGAAUGCAGCCUCUUUGACUGUCAGCUGCCACCCUGCCCAUGCCCCUCUGCCUGGUCUCCGCUCCCUCCCGUGUCCCCUGUGUUCUGUGCUCAGCACAGCAGCUGUGAGCCUGGCUCCGCUGUGCCAGCCGCCUGACCACACCCUGUGCCUUUUCUUUCCCAGGUGUCCUUCUGCCUCCCUCUGUCACCUUCAGGUCUCUGCCGAAGUGGCACUCAGCCCCGCCCCUUAACAAUGGACUUUGAAUCCACCCCCUCAGUGUCUGACAUGCUGGUUACACAGUUAUCCACAUUUACUGUAUACUUUUGUCUCCUGCUCACACAGUGAAAACUCCCUGAGGGCAGGAAACACUAAUAUUUCAUUCACAGAUUCAUCCCAGAGCAGUGCUCACGAGGAAGGAGCUGUGGAGUCCCAAUGAAUGAAUGUGUGAGUGAAUUAAUGAUUUAAGUGAAUGGAUGAAU